rnacentral:other from 1 species
UCCCUGUGAUAUUUGCCAGACAGUUACGUCCCUGAGCCGAUGCGCAUUACCCCGGCGGAUCCUCGUUUUUUUGGCGUGCAUGCCCGUUCUGCGGGAAGCCCGAUAUUUUACAGGAACCACCACUUUGAACCGUUGGGUUCAAGGACCAUUGCCAGCGGUAUCUUGGGGA